rnacentral:rRNA from 1 species
AUGUAUAAAGAAAAGAAGGAGAUUCUUUGUACAGUGGUUAAGAAGUGUAGGACACCUGAUGGUUGUGCAUCAAACUUUUCGAGGUGUGUGAACAUGAAAGAAUUGACAUUGACUGGCCUCAAAAGCCACGACUGCCAUGUUAUUCUACAAGACAUCCUUCCUGUGGCACUUUUACACUGUUAUCCCAGUAAAGAUUUCAUGAUAAUAGUUGUUGAGCUGGCUAAUUUCUUCAAGAAGCUAUGCUCCAAAGUGUUAGAUGUCUCUGAGCUUGACAAACUGCAAGAGAGUAUUGUGAAGACACUUUGUAAUAUGGAAAAGGUUUUUCUUCCAUCGUUUUUUACUGUCAUGGUACAUUUAAUGGUGCAUUUAGUUGAAGAAGCUAAACUUGGUGGCCCGGUGCAUUACAGGUGGAUGUACCCUCUAGAGAGAUCAUUUGUUUGGCUAAAGUCACUUGUGCGCAAUAGAGCUUAUCCUGAAGGUUCUAUUGCUGAAGGAUAUACUGUUGAAGAAUGCUUGACCUUUUGUUCAAGAUUUCUAGAAGGAACCACACGUUUCACAAGAACAUCUAGGAACCCUGAUCCUUCGGAUAAUACAAAGGGCAUGUACAUGUUUGAUAGUGUUGGUGAGCCAAUUGGAAAGGCUGUCACUAUAGGCCAGUUGGACGAUCAGCUUCUAGUUCAAGCACAUAGAUAUGUCUUGCGACACUCUGAUGAGCUUGAUGAUCUUCGUAGAGAAUUUCUGGACCAAGAGAAGAGGAAACCGGGUAACUUAAAUUUGACGGAUGAUGACAAUGAGGAUUUGAUUAGUAGACACUUUGCUGACUGGUUGGAACAAAAGGUUAUACUAGAUGAUGGACUGGAUAUCACAGAAAAGAUAAGAGCAUUAGCCGCAAAACCAAGCAAAUGCGGGGUGCGCUAUAGUGGCUAUAUAAUUAAUGGUUUCAGGUUUCAUACUAUCAGUCGCGAGACAGGACACGUGACACAAAAUAGUGGUGUCGUGAACCUUGCUGAAAAUGGUGUGUCCUAUUAUGGUCGGUUAUCUGACAUCUUCGAGUUGUCAUACAAAGAUUACAAGGUGGUCUUCUUUAAAUGUGAUUGGGGAGAAGUUAGAGGAUGA